CUAAGCUACUAAGGGCAGACGGUGGAUGCCUUGGGUGGAAGAGGCGAUGAAGGACGUACUAGGCUGCGAUAAGCCUCGGGGAGCCGCCAAGAGGCUUUGAUCCGGGGAUUUCCGAAUGGGGCAACCCGGCUUAUAGAGAUAUAAGUCACUCCAUAGUGAGAGCGAACGAGGGGAAGUGAAACAUCUCAGUACCCUCAGGAAGAGAAAUCAAACGAGAUUCCCCUAGUAGCGGUGAGCGAACGGGGAAGAGGCCAAACCGAUAGUUUACUAUCGGGGUUGUAGGACUGCAUUUAGCAUUCUGAUUAGUUAGUAGAACACUCUGGAAAGUGUGGCUAUAAAGGGUGAUAGCCCCGUAUACGAAAACUAAGACGAGCGAGCAGUAUCCUGAGUAGGUCGGGACACGUGUAAUCCUGACUGAAUCUGGGGGGACCACCCUCCAAGCCUAAAUACUACUUCCACACCGAUAGCGAACCAGUACCGUGAGGGAAAGGUGAAAAGAACCGUGGGUAACGGAGUGAAAUAGAACCUGAAACCGUCUGCUUACAAUCAUUCGGAGCACCAUGGAUUUAUCCGGUGUGACGGACUGCCUUUUGCAUAAUGAGCCUGCGAGUUGUGGUAUCCGGCAAGGUUAAGUUAUUACUGAGCCGUAGCGAAAGCGAGUCUGAAUAGGGCGCUAAGUCGGAUGCUGCAGACCCGAAGCUAGGUGAUCUAUCCAUGACCAGGUUGAAGCGGGUGUAAGAACCCGUGGAGGACCGAACUCGCUGACGUUGAAAAGUCUUGGGAUGAGUUGUGGAUAGGGGUGAAAGGCCAAUCAAACCUAGUGAUAGCUGGUUCUCUCCGAAAUAUAUUGAGGUAUAGCGUCGUGUUGCAACACAUAGGGGUAAAGCACUGAUUGGGCUAGGGCUGCUCACCGCGGUACCAAACCCUGUCAAACUCUGAAUACUAUGUGCCAAGUCACGGCAGUCAGGCGGCGAGUGAUAAAAUCCGUCGUCAAGAGGGGAACAACCCAGACUACCGAAUAAGGCCCCCAAGUCAUAUCUUAGUGGAAAAGGAUGUGGGACUACUUUGACAACCAGGAUGUUGGCUUAGAAGCAGCCACCAUUUAAAGAAAGCGUAACAGCUCACUGGUCUAGUGGACCUGCGCCGAAAAUAUAACGGGGCUCAAGAUAUGCGCCGAAUUCGUAGAUUCUUCUUUAGAAGAGUGGUAGGAGAGCGUUCGUGUCAGCGUUGAAGGUGUACCGGUAAGGAGCGCUGGAGCGGCACGAAGUGAGCAUGCAGGCAUGAGUAGCGAUAAAAUACGUGAGAAUCGUAUUCGCCGUAAACCCAAGGUUUCCGACGCUAUGCUCGUCAUCGUCGGGUUAGUCGGGUCCUAAGACGAGUCCGAAAGGGGUAGUCGAUGGCAAAUCGGUUAAUAUUCCGAUACUAACAAUAGUGUGCGACGGGGGGACGCUUAGGGCUAAGCGAGCCAGCUGAUGGAAUAGCUGGUCGAAGGAUGUAGGUUGACUUUCAGGCAAAUCCGAAAGUUGUAUCCGAGAUCUGACAGGCACUUGAUGUUCUUCGGAACGGAUGGUGAAUCGCUGAUGCCGUCGAGCCUAGAAAAGCCUCUAAGUUUAGCUAUUGUUACCCGUACCGUAAACCGACACAGGUGGGUGAGAUGAGUAUUCUAAGGCGCGUGGAAGAACCCCUGUUAAGGAACUCUGCAAACUGACACCGUAACUUCGGAAGAAGGUGUGCCCUCUAUUGUGUAAGGACUUGCUCCUGAAGCAUAUGAGGGUCGCAGAGAAUAGUCCCUCCCGACUGUUUAUCAAAAACACAGCACUCUGCUAACACGUAAGUGGAUGUAUAGGGUGUGACGCCUGCCCGGUGCUGGAAGGUUAAGGGGAUUUGUUAGCGCAAGCGAAGCUUUGAACCGAAGCCCCAGUAAACGGCGGCCGUAACUAUAACGGUCCUAAGGUAGCGAAAUUCCUUGUCGGUUAAAUACUGACCUGCAUGAAUGGUGUAACGAGAUGGGAACUGUCUCAACCAGAGAUCCAGUGAAAUUGUAGUGGAGGUGAAAAUUCCUCCUACCCGCGGAAAGACGGAAAGACCCCGUGGACCUUUACUAUAGCUUGACACUGCUGUUGGGAUAAAGAUGUGCAGGAUAGGUGGGAGGCUUUGAGGAUGUGACGCCAGUUGCAUCUGAGCCAUUGUUGAGAUACCACUCUUCUUUAUUCUGAUAGCUAACUGGGACAUAUUAUCUAUGUUCAGGACAAUGUCUGGUGGGUAGUUUGACUGGGGCGGUCGCCUCCUAAAAAGUAACGGAGGCUUACAAAGGUUGGCUCAGAACGGUUGGAAAUCGUUCGUAGAGUAUAAUGGUACAAGCCAGCUUGACUGUGAGACAUACACGUCGAGCAGAGACGAAAGUCGGUCAUAGUGAUCCGGUGGUUCUGUGUGGAAGGGCCAUCGCUCAAAGGAUAAAAGGUACCCCGGGGAUAACAGGCUGAUCUCCCCCAAGAGCUCACAUCGACGGGGAGGUUUGGCACCUCGAUGUCGGCUCAUCGCAUCCUGGGGCUGGAGCAGGUCCCAAGGGUAUGGCUGUUCGCCAUUUAAAGCGGUACGCGAGCUGGGUUCAGAACGUCGUGAGACAGUUCGGUCCCUAUCUUCCGUGGGCGUAGGAAAGUUGAAGAGAUCUGUCCCUAGUACGAGAGGACCGGGAUGGACGUACCACUGGUGUACCGGUUGUUCUGCCAAGGGCAUCGCCGGGUAGCUAAGUACGGAUGUGAUAACCGCUGAAGGCAUAUAAGCGGGAAGCCGACUCUAAGAUGAACUUUCCCUGAAGGUCGCAAGAAGACUACUUGCUUGAUAGGCUAGGUGUGUAAUUGCAGUAAUGCAUUUAGCUAACUAGUACUAAUAGACCGAUCGGCUCAUAUCG
rnacentral:rRNA from 1 species